UACGUAGGGUGCAAGCGUUAAUCGGAAUUACUGGGCGUAAAGCGUGCGCAGGCGGUUUUGUAAGUCUGACGUGAAAUCCCCGGGCUCAACCUGGGAAUUGCGUUGGAGACUGCAAGGCUGGAGUCUGGCAGAGGGGGGGUAGAAUUCCACGUGUAGCAGUGAAAUGCGUAGAGAUGUGGAGGAACACCGAUGGCGAAGGCAGCCCCCUGGGUCAAGACUGACGCUCAUGCGCGAAAGCGUGGGGAGCGGAACAGGAU
rnacentral:rRNA from 1 species